rnacentral:rRNA from 1 species
AACGAACGCUGGCGGCAAGCUUAACACAUGCAAGUCGAGCGCCCCGCAAGGGGAGCGGCAGACGGGUGAGUAACGCGUGGGAACGUACCUUUUGGUUCGGAACAACUCAGGGAAACUGGAGCUAAUACCGGAUAAGCCCUAACGGGGAAAGAUUUAUCGCCGAAAGAUCGGCCCGCGUCUGAUUAGCUAGUUGGUGAGGUAACGGCUCACCAAGGCGACGAUCAGUAGCUGGUCUGAGAGGAUGAUCAGCCACACUGGGACUGAGACACGGCCCAGACUCCUACGGGAGGCAGCAGUGGGGAAUAUUGGACAAUGGGCGCAAGCCUGAUCCAGCCAUGCCGCGUGAGUGAUGAAGGCCUUAGGGUUGUAAAGCUCUUUUGUCCGGGAAGAUAAUGACUGUACCGGAAGAAUAAGCCCCGGCUAACUUCGUG